AGCAGCCGCGGUAAUUCCAGCUCCAAUAGCGUAUAUUAAAGUUGUUGUAGUUAAAAAGCUCGUAGUUGAACUUCGGGGUCUACCCAUUGGUCAGGCUUAAUUGUCUGCACUGGUGAGAUGGAUCUCUACCUUCUGAGGAACUUUCAUGCCAUUUAUUUGGUGUGGUUGGAAAUCAGGACUGUUACUUUGAAAAAAUUAGAGUGUUUAAAGCAGACUAUCGUCUGAAUACAUUAGCAUGGAAUAAUGAAAUAGGACGGACUGAUUCUAUUCGUUGGUUUCUAGGAUCACCGUAAUGAUUAAUAGGGAUAGUCGGGGGCAUUAGUAUUCAAUUGUCAGAGGUGAAAUUCUUGGAUUUAUUGAAGACUAACUACUGUCGAAAGCAAUUUGCCAAGGAUGUUUUCAUUAAUCAAGAACGAAAGUUAGGGAUCGAAGACGAUCAGAUACCGUCGUAGUCUUAA
rnacentral:rRNA from 1 species